rnacentral:lncRNA from 1 species
GUCAAUGUUAAUUGGUAUUCAGUUGUAAAAGCAUUAGUACAUCUCAUAUCCAUUCAGAAUAGUAAGCCCCACUCCCUCAGUCAUGGUCAAUUAACUUUGAAACAUAUGCUUAGUUUGUCACUUUUGUGUAUUAGUUUGUAAUUAGAUCAGUUUAAGAUGAACUGCUAAUGUGAAGUCGAUGAUAUUUGGUAUGGAAAUUAUAAAGCCC